CCUACGGGAGGCAGCAGUGGGGAAUUUUGGACAAUGGGCGCAAGCCUGAUCCAGCAAUGCCGCGUGAGUGAAGAAGGCCUUCGGGUUGUAAAGCUCUUUUGUCAGGGAAGAAACGGUGGGGGCUAAUAUCUCCUGCUAAUGACGGUACCUGAAGAAUAAGCACCGGCUAACUACGUGCCAGCAGCCGCGGUAAUACGUAGGGUGCAAGCGUUAAUCGGAAUUACUGGGCGUAAAGCGUGCGCAGGCGGUUUUGUAAGUUUGUCGUGAAAUCCCCGGGCUCAACCUGGGAAUGGCGAUGAAGACUGCAAGGCUAGAAUCUGGCAGAGGGGGGUAGAAUUCCACGUGUAGCAGUGAAAUGCGUAGAGAUGUGGAGGAACACCGAUGGCGAAGGCAGCCCCCUGGGUCAAGAUUGACGCUCAUGCACGAAAGCGUGGGGAGCAAACAGGAUUAGAUACCCUGGUAGUCCACGCCCUAAACGAUGUCUACUAGUUGUCGGGUUUUAAUUAACUUGGUAACGCAGCUAACGCGUGAAGUAGACCGCCUGGGGAGUACGGGUCGCAAGAUUAAAACUUCAAAGGAAUUGACGGNUUGNGAGNGCGAGCGACGACGAGGAGGAGG
rnacentral:rRNA from 1 species